rnacentral:rRNA from 1 species
GAGUUUGAUCCUGGCUCAGAUUGAACGCUGGCGGCAUGCCUUACACAUGCAAGUCGAACGGCAGCAUGAUCUAGCUUGCUAGAUUGAUGGCGAGUGGCGAACGGGUGAGUAAUACAUCGGAACGUGCCCUGUAGUGGGGAUAACUAGUCGAAAGAUUAGCUAAUACCGCAUACGACCUGAGGGUGAAAGUGGGGGACCGCAAGGCCUCAUGCUAUAGGAGCGGCCGAUGUCUGAUUAGCUAGUUGGUGGGUAAAGGCCCACCAAGGCGACGAUCAGUAGCUGGUCUGAGAGGACGAUCAGCCACACUGGGACUGAGACACGGCCCAGACUCCUACGGGAGGCAGCAGUGGGAAUUUUGGACAAUGGGCGAAAGCCUGAUCCAGCAAUGCCGCGUGUGUGAAGAAGGCCU